rnacentral:rRNA from 1 species
AACGAACGCUGGCGGCGUGCUUAACACAUGCAAGUCGAGCGGGAAAGUUUCCUUCGGGAAGCGAGUACAGCGGCAGACGGGUGAGUACGACGUAGGUAACCUACCCUCGAGACUGGGAUAACCUGUCGAAAGACGGGCUAAUACCGGAUAAGACCACAAGGGCUGCGGCCUUUGAGGUAAAAGAUGGCCUCUGCUUGCAAGCUAUCACUUGGGGAUGGGGCCUGCGCGCCAUUAGCAGUUGGUGAGGUACGGCUCACCAAGGCAAAGAUGGCUAGCUGGUCUGAGAGGAUGGCCAGCCACACUGGGACUGAGACACGGCCCAGACUCCUACGGGAGGCAGCAGUGGGGAAUAUUGCGCAAUGGGACGAAAGCCUGACGCAGCGACGCCGCGU